CCGGACUCCAGCAUUCUAAACCUCCAUGCAGUCCUGCCUCUCUCUCUUCAGCUCAUACCCAGGUUAAAUGGAGUCAUAAGGGUGGGAUCCGAAUCCCACAGGACUAACCUCCUUAUAGGAAGAGACAGCAAGGAUGCGUGUACACAGAGGAAAAGCCAUGUGAAGACACAGCAAGAAGGUGGCAGUUUCCAAGCCAAGGAGAGAGGCCUCACCAGAAACCAACCUUGCUGGCCCCUUGAUCUUGGUCUCCUAGCCUUCAGAACUAUGAGAAAAUAAAGUCUGUUGUUUAA